AUGUCAGUGAGCGUUAAGGACUCCAGCUUCUACGGCUUCCUAAUGUUUGAGUGCCUCUAGUGGUCCUCGAGCGUGUGAGGCCUCAUUCAUCACUCAUGGGCUGACAUGCAUUCAAAGAGAAGAGGUCACUGCGGCUCACACAUGCAAAACAAAUUAGGAGCGAUGCCUGUAUUACAGCUGGAAUUAACCUCCUAAGGGAAAUGGAGGUAACACAGAAGAAUUUAUGUGAUGGAGGACGGAAGUAGGAAUGCUGGGAGGAUGACGUGGAGAAUCUUGGGACAGUGGUGACGUCAGCUGUAAGCGACCGGAGGUGCAGUCAUCAUGAAGUAUUAGGAGCACUAUGAAAGCGGCUUGGAGGUCUGGACAAGGCUUUUCACACAAAUUCAAGGUGCCGUGGGAUUUUGUUUUUCGUCUUUCCUGUUAAAAUAAAG